rnacentral:rRNA from 1 species
UACGUAGGUGGCAAGCGUUGUCCGGAUUUAUUGGGCUUAAAGGGUGCGUAGGCGGCUUUGUAAGUCAGUGGUGAAAUAUGGCAGCUCAACUGUCAGGGUGCCACUGAUACUGCGGAGCUUGAGUACAGAUGAGGUAGGCGGAAUUGACGGUGUAGCGGUGAAAUGCUUAGAUAUCGUCAAGAACACCGAUAGCGAAGGCAGCUUACUGGGCUGUAACUGACGCUGAGGCACGAAAGUGUGGGGAUCAAACAGG